rnacentral:rRNA from 1 species
GUGCUUAACACAUGCAAGUCGAACGGAAAGGCCCUUCGGGGUACUCGAGUGGCGAACGGGUGAGUAACACGUGGGUGAUCUGCCCUGCACUCUGGGAUAAGCCUGGGAAACUGGGUCUAAUACCGGAUAGGACCGCAUGCUUCAUGGUGUGUGGUGCAAAGCUUUUGCGGUGUGGGAUGAGCCCGCGGCCUAUCAGCUUGUUGGUGGGGUAAUGGCCUACCAAGGCGACAACGGGUAGCCGGCCUGAGAGGGUGACCGGCCACACUGGGACUGAGAUACGGCCCAAACUCCUACGGGAGGCAGCAGUGGGGAAUAUUGCACAAUGGGCGCAAGCCUGAUGCAGCGACGCCGCGUGAGGGAUGACGGCCUUCGGGUUGUAAACCUCUUUCAGUAGGGACGAAGCGAAAGUGACGGUACCUACAGAAGAAGGACCGGCCAACUACGUGCCAGCAGCCGCGGUAAUACGUAGGGUCCGAGCGUUGUCCGGAAUUACUGGGCGUAAAGAGCUCGUAGGUGGUUUGUCGCGUUGUUCGUGAAAUC